AGGACGAACGCUGGCGGCGCGCCUAACACAUGCAAGUCGAGCGAGAACCAGGGCUUGCCCUGGGGACAGCGGCGAACGGGUGCGUAACACGUGAGCAACCUGCCCCAAAGACCGGGACAACCCGAGGAAACUCGGACUAAUACCGGAUGCCCUCACCGGGUCGCAUGGUCUGGUGAGGAAAUGGAUUCCGCUUUGGGAUGGGCUCGCGGUCUAUCAGCUUGUUGGUGGGGUAACGGCCUACCAAGGCGACGACGGAUAGCUGGUCUGAGAGGACGAUCAGCCACACUGGGACUGAGACACGGCCCAGACUCCUACGGGAGGCAGCAGUGGGGAAUCUUGCGCAAUGGGCGAAAGCCUGACGCAGCAACGCCGCGUGGAGGACGAAGGCUUUCUGAGUUGUAAACUCCUUUCAGCAGGGACGAUAGUGACGGUACCUGCAGAAGAGCACCGGCCAACUACGUGCCAGCAGCCGCGGU
rnacentral:rRNA from 1 species